UGAUUAUAUCCCAAAGAAAACCCAAGCGCAACCAAUUACGUCUCAACCAGAGGAAAUGGAGAAAAUUAAAGAGAUAAUACAGCACGUGGAGCACGAAUAGAGCCAUGGCCAUGAACCAGCCAUGAACGGAUGGAUAGCAUUGCUAUUGGUUGCUAUUAUGAGGGGAGAGGGAAUUUCUCCUCUUCCCAUUCUGUCAUACAACCCAAAAAAAAUCCAAGCGGCCAUUUGAUUCUUUCAAAGUUUCGAGGAAUAGAAAGCGCGAUUUAGAAUUUUUAUUUACUUUAACAAUAUCAAAUAAAUGAUUCUAGUUUACAAUUUUGUACAAAAUAAAAUAAAUCAACUGUUUUUCGGACAUUAAAUGAGUGACUUAAUAUUUAUAGACUUUUAUAGCAAAUAAAAAUAUUUACAUAUAUCAAAUAUGUUUUCACAUCAAGUAUGUGCAGAUUAAUUAGAAACGCAAUUUUAGGUUAGACCACUGAGGACCUCGGUAAGUGAACCUUCGAAAUAGGGGAGAGAGACGCGCUACGUAUAAUACAAUGAUCUAUUGAAGUCACGAAACAAUCUAUCUAAGAUUUCAACUUCUUCGGUAGUAUAGUGGUAAGUAUCCCCGCCUGUCACGCGGGAGACCGGGGUUCGAUUCCCCGCCGGAGAGAAUUUAAUUUUUGAUUUUUCUUCUUUUUAAUAUGUUUUCUUAAUUAUUAUUCUUCUAUAAUGUAGCGACUGCCUUGAUUUAUAUUUUAAAGUAUAAGGGUUCCCUCUGGACGUUCUUUAAUCCUGCUGCUCCGCGGAAAAGAGGGCAACAGAAAGGAGUUAUGCUAUUCCGUCAUGCUUGC